rnacentral:rRNA from 1 species
UAGAGGCCUACCAUGGUGGUAACGGGCAACGGGGUGUUAGGGCACGACACCGGAGAGGGAGCCUGAGAAACGGCUACCACAUCCAAGGAUGGCAGCAGGCGCGCAAAUUACCCAAUCCCGACACGGGGAGGUAGUGACAAUAAAUAACAAUACGGGGUUCUUUAGGAUCUCGUAAUUGGAAUGAGUACAAUUUAAAUCUCUUAACGAGGAACAGUUGGAGGGCAAGUCUGGUGCCAGCAGCCGCGGUAAUUCCAGCUCCAAUAGCGUAUAUUAAAGUUGUUGCAGUUAAAAAGCNNNUAGUUGAAUUUCGGGGUUAGUAGGUUGGUCAUGCCUCUGGUAUGUACUGGUCUCACUGAUUCCUCCUUCCUGAUGAACCGUAAUGCCAUUAAUUUGGUGUUGCGGGGAAUUUGGACUGUUACUUUGAAAAAAUUAGAGUGUUUAAAGCAAGCUAACGCUUGAAUACAUUAGCAUGGAAUAAUGAGAUAGGACGUUCGAUCCUAUUUUGUUGGUUUCUAGGAUUGACGUAAUGAUUAAUAGGGAUAGUUGGGGGCAUUAGUAUUCAAUUGUCAGAGGUGAAAUUCUUGGAUUUAUUGAAGACUAACUACUGCGUAAGCAUUUGCCAAGGAUGUUUUCAUUAAUCAAGAACGAAAGUUAGGGGAUCGAAGACGAUCAGAUACCGUCGUAGUCUUAACCAUAAACUAUGCCGACUAGGGAUCGG